UACAGGGGGGGCAAGCGUUGUUCGGAAUUACUGGGCGUAAAGGGCUCGUAGGCGGCCAACUAAGUCACACGUGAAAUCCCCAGGCUUAACCUGGGAACUGCGUCGGAUACUGGCGGGCUUGAAUCCGGGAGAGGGAUGCGGAAUUCCAGGUGUAGCGGUGAAAUGCGUAGAUAUCUGGAGGAACACCGGUGGCGAAGGCGGCAUCCUGGACCGGCAUUGACGCUGAAUAGCGAAAGCCAGGGGAGCAAACGGG
rnacentral:rRNA from 1 species